rnacentral:rRNA from 1 species
AUGGCCGCCGACCAGGACAAGCCGCUCAAGGCUGCUCGUGUCGACGGCAGGGAUGAUCAGCUGGCACGCCUGCCGGAAGACGUGCUCGCCGACAUCCUCGGCCGCGUCCCGCCGCGCUGGGUCGCCGCCUCCCGCUGCGUCUGCAGGGCCUGGCACGACGCCAUCGAUGCACACGGCCUCCUGCGCGCCGACCUGCUCCCGCUCUCGUUCGCUGGCCUCCUCAUCCACUUCGACAAGCACAAGUAUACCGAAUUCUUCGCUCGUCCCUCCGCCCAUGCGGUCAGCGGCAACCUCAGCUUCCUGCCUUCCGCUGCCCCUCAUGCUGGCACUAUAUGGGACGACGCCAGUGAUUGGGACGACUACAAGAUUCAGAACCAUUGCAACGGGCUCCUCUUGCUUAGCAACAACCAUGUGGUUAACCCUGCCAUCCAAAGGUGGAAUGCUUUGCCACCGUGCCCGGCCAAAGAUGGUACAUGGUACAUGUGGUACGGUGGGCAUUUGGUCUAUGAUCCGAUGGUAUCACCACAUUACGAGGUGUUCAUGGUCCCACGUUUGCGUGAUAAAGAUGAUCCUUAUAAUCGUCCGGACCUCUUGAUGGAGAAAUCUGAAUGGCCACCGUCUCCAUGCAAGAUGUAUGUAUUCUCAUCAAGGUCGGGUUGUUGGGAGGAGAAGUAUUUCACCCGAGAAGGCGAUGCUGCGGGGAUCGUUAGUGAGAUGCAAGUAGGCUGGCUGGAGUUCAGGACCGCUGUAUAUUUUCGAACAGCACUUUAUAUAUACAGCGAAGCUGCAUUUCUUAUGAGAAUAUCACUGUCAGAUACUGCAUAUCAUGUAAUAAAACCACCUUUUGAUAUUAAAGUAAAGGACUGUUGUCUACACACUGAUAUAGUUAGAUCAGAAAAGGGGGUGUACUUUGUGGCAUUUGAAGAUGAUAAGUGUUGGCUUCGAGUUUGGAUCCUUAAUGAAUCAUGUGGCCAAAUGGAGUGGAUGUUGAAGCAUGACAAAGACCUUAACCCUGUGCUAGCACGCCACCGGUUUGACCAACGAGUACAUGGACCCUGGAUCUUAGAAGAUAUUAACUACAACCUAUUUCGUUCUUCUCAUUCUUCAAAUGAUAUCAAGGAAGCAUCAACUGAACAGAUAUAUGAAUGGAACUCUGACAAUGAUGAUGACGAUGUUGAAAAUUGCCACCGGAAUAAAGACGGUCGUCGCAAGGAAUAUGAUAUUCAGAUACUUGGGUUUCACCCCCAUAAAGAGAUUGUCUUCAUGAGUGAAUCUCAGGAGACAGGACUGGCUUAUCACUUAAACGGCUCGAAGAUUGAAGUCUUAGGGAGUAUAUACCCAAAGGAGUAUUCAUGUUUCAAAGAGCUAUUAAAUGACAUGGAGUACUUCACUUCUUUUCCAUACACCCCAUGUUGGAUUAAAGAGUUUCCUCAGAACAACUAG